GCUGUGGUGGCUCAGUGGUGGAAUUCUCGCUUUCCAUGCAGGAGACCUGGGUUUGAUUCCUGGCCAGAGCU
rnacentral:tRNA from 1 species